rnacentral:lncRNA from 1 species
UUUGCGUGAAAUUUCAUCAGCUGUAUCAGUUUCUUUGGUUUGUUUUCUCAAGACUGAGUGAAAGUUUUCCACUGGAUACUCAUCGAAUGCAGAACAUCGAGAGAAUAAGAUCCCUGAUCAAUGUCCAUCCGCCAUAAAUGAUUUCAAGCAACAGAGAUGUACGCCAUGGUUUUGGUUUCUUAGCCAGCUUUGCUUUUUUCCCAAAGAUGAAAGCAUAAAGGAUGUGCAACAAUUCCAAGAUUCCGUAGAGAUUCAAGCCCUUGUUUGCUGAUUCCAAACUGCUGCAGUGUCCUGGAUAGUGUGACUUGAAAUGAGUUGCAUUUUUGUGAUUACAUUGGAUCCAAUGUUAUGGCUUCUUGUAUGGAUGAAUAUAAUUUAUCAGCACCAACAUCUUUGCACAUAAUCUCAAACACAUCAGGAUCCAUUUCAGGCUCUGCCAAUUUUGUUAUGACAGAUUCUUGCCUGUUCAUCUCGUUUUUAGCAGAAGAUUCCAAUACCACAAGCUAAAUUACAAGUGUGCUUAAUUGACUUUUUUUUCUCUGAGGGCCAUACUAAUGGCCAUAAGGUAAUUAUAUGGUUUCAGCUCUUCACCUACACACCCCACCCACUUAUUUCUAAAAUGUAAAAGUAUGGGCAUUUACAAUGUGAGGGCCCAGAGU